AAAAAAAAAAAAAAAAAAAAAAAAACACAUGAUGAUCCUGGAAUGUUUUGAAGUGCCAGAGAAUAAGGAGGGGAUGAGUGGAAAGGAGACAGGAGCCCACUGAUGGCCAAAGCUGGCACAACUUAAACAUCCAGAUAAAUAACACUCAUGUUGGAUAAUAACCCGCAGAGUAAAAUAAAUUACCCAUGAGUUCACACGGACAUAAAUAAACAAUUAACCAACUGAACAAAUGUGGCAGAAGACACAAGUCAGCCUUGCAAGAGGAUCUCAAUUCGUAAAUCUUGGAAGAGUGAGGGCGACAGAAAAUCCCCAUUAGAAUGGCACUGUAAGGCCGGGCACAGUGGCUCUUGUCUGUAAUCCCAGCACUUUGGGAGGCCGAGGUGGGCUGAUCACCCGAGGUCCGGAGUUUGAGACCAGCCUCGCCAGCAUGGUGAAACCUCAUCUCUACUAAAAAUAUAAAACUUAACCGGGCAUGGGGGUGGGCACCUGUAAUCCCAGCUACUUGAGAGGCUGAGGCAAGACAAUUGCUUGAUCCCGGGAUGUGGAGGUUGCAGUGAGCCGAGAUCGUGCCACUGCACUCUAGCCUGGGCGACAGAGGAAGACUCUAUCUAAAAAAAAAAUAAAAAUAAAAAUAAAAAAGGCCAGGCGCAGUGGCUCACGCCUGUAAUCCCAACACUUUGAGAGGCGGAGGCAGGUGGAUCACCUGAGGUCAGGAGUUCGAGACCAGCCUGACCAACAUGGAGAAACCCCAUCUUUACUAAAAAUACAAAAUUAGCCGGGCGUGGUGGCACAUGCCUGUAAUCCCAGCUACUCAGGAGGCUGAGGCAGGAAAAUUGCUUGAACCCAGGAGGCAGAGGCUGCAGUGAGCCAAGAUUGCGCCACUGUACUGCAGCCUGGGCAACAAGAGUGAGACUCCAUCUCAAAAAAAAAAAAAAAAAAGGAAGCAAAAAAGACCACUGUUGAUUAAACCACAACAGAUCAUCUAUUUUAACACCCAUCCCAAUUCCGUGGAUCCAUGAAAUACCCCAUACUAGCUCAUUUGGUCCUCUCCACAACCCUAUGAGAUAGGUAGCAUUAUCAUCCCCAUUUUAUACAGGGGGAAACUGAGGUCAGAAAGACUGAGUGGCAUGCUCAAAGUCCCCCCAGUGAGCCAGAGGUGGAGCCAGGAUUUGAACUCGGGCAGUCUGGCAGCAGAGCCCUGACUCUUAUCUGCUCUCCACACUGCCUCUCUGCUUCCAGUCUGAUUUUGGAGAAGUAGACCCAGGAAUCACACAGACAGCUAGAAAUAUCCGCCUAUUGGCAUAUGAAAAGGGGCUCAACAUCGCUGAUCAUUAGAGAGAUGCAAAUCAAAACUACAGUGAGAUAUAUCAUCUCACCCCAAUUAAAGUGCCUUAUAUCCAAAAGACAGGCAAUAACAAAUGCUGGCAAUGAUGUGAAGAAAAGGGAACCCUCGUACAUUGUUGGUGGGAAUGUAAAUUAGUACAACCACCGUGGAGAACAGUUUGGAGGUUCCUCAAAAAACUAAAAAUUGAGGCUGGGCGCAGUGGCGCACACCUGUAAUCCCAACACUUUGGGAGGCCAAAGCAGGUGGAUCCCUUGAGGUCAGGAGUUCGAGACCAGCCUGGCCAACAUGGCGAAACCCUGUCUCUG
rnacentral:lncRNA from 1 species